rnacentral:rRNA from 1 species
AACGAACGCUGGCGGCAGGCUUAACACAUGCAAGUCGAGCGCGUAGCAAUACGAGCGGCAGACGGGUGAGUAACGCGUGGGAAUCUACCUAUCCCUACGGAACAACUCCGGGAAACUGGAGCUAAUACCGUAUACGCCCUUCGGGGGAAAGAUUUAUCGGGGAUGGAUGAGCCCGCGUUGGAUUAGCUAGUUGGUGGGGUAAUGGCCUACCAAGGCGACGAUCCAUAGCUGGUCUGAGAGGAUGAUCAGCCACACUGGGACUGAGACACGGCCCAGACUCCUACGGGAGGCAGCAGUGGGGAAUAUUGGACAAUGGGCGCAAGCCUGAUCCAGCCAUGCCGCGUGAGUGAUGAAGGCCCUAGGGUUGUAAAGCUCUUUCACCGGUGAAGAUAAUGACGGUAACCGGAGAAGAAGCCCCGGCUAACUUCGUGCCAGCCGCCGCGGUAACAC